UGGGGAAUUUUGGACAAUGGGCGAAAGCCUGAUCCAGCAAUGCCGCGUGAGUGAAGAAGGCCUUCGGGUUGUAAAGCUCUUUUGUCAGGGAAGAAACGGUGAAAGCUAAUAUCUUUUGCUAAUGACGGUACCUGAAGAAUAAGCACCGGCUAACUACGUGCCAGCAGCCGCGGUAAUACGUAGGGUGCAAGCGUUAAUCGGAAUUACUGGGCGUAAAGCGUGCGCAGGCGGUUUUGUAAGUCUGAUGUGAAAUCCCCGGGCUCAACCUGGGAAUUGCAUUGGAGACUGCAAGGCUAGAAUCUGGCAGAGGGGGGUAGAAUUCCACGUGUAGCAGUGAAAUGCGUAGAUAUGUGGAGGAACACCGAUGGCGAAGGCAGCCCCCUGGGUCAAGAUUGACGC
rnacentral:rRNA from 1 species